GACAAGAACAAGUUUGUCAAAGUUAAUUAUAUUAGAUCGGGCUGGAGUGUAAGUCGAGCCUUUAAUGAAUGUCUAAGAGCUAUUCUUAAACUAACUCUAGUGUUACUUGUUAAACCUAAUCCGGUGCUCGAAGAUGAUACUGAUGAUCGAUGGAAAUGGUUUAAGGGUUGUCAUGGUGCAUUGGAUGGUACUUACAUUUCCAUUAGAGUUGAAGCAAUAUAUAAGCCAAGAUACAAAAUACGAAAAGGAGAUAUAGCAACUAAUGUCUUGGGGGUUUGUGAUAUAAAUCUCAACUUCAUUUAUGUAUUACCUGGUUGGGAGGGAUCAGCCGCUGAUGGUCGUGUAUUGCGAGAUGUUGUUGUACGAAAAAAUGGGUUGAAAGUACCUCAAGGCAAUUACUAUUUGUGCGAUGGAGGAAAUACAAAUGGAAAUGGUUUUCUGUCUCCCUACCGAGGAUAUAGAUAUUGGAUAAAGGAUUGACAGGGUAACAAUCCAUCACCUCGAUGUCGAGAAGAGCUCUUUAAUAUGAAGCAUUCUAGGGCACGUAAUGUUAUUGAAAGAUAAUUUGAACUAUUAAAAGGACGUUGGGAAAUUCUUAGAAGUCCUUCGUGGUACUCGGUUAAGGUUCACAAUAGAAUUAUUAGUGCAUGUUGUUUGAUACACAAUUUCAUCGGAAGAGAGAUGGAAGCUGACCCCUUAGAUGUGGAAAUGGAAUUCCACAUGGAGAAUCAACAAGAACCUGAAAAUAUUAAUACAAUUGAAGCAUCUGAUGAGUGGACCACUUGGACGGAUGAACUAGCUCAAUCUAUGUGG